GCCAAGAAAACCUUAGCAGUCUGUCCGGAGAGCGAACUCAGUAAAAGCCGAAUUAACGUUAAUCUGUGAAACUCCCCAGAGAGAUGUUGGCGAGGCAAUUAAUGUCAGCAGUUUUGAGGGAGGGAUCUUAAGUUUUACUGGGUUUAAAACAUAGGUACAAAACUAAUUAUUUGGAAGCCUUUGUACCCCUUCUUUUUUUUUCUUUUCUUUUUGUUGUUUUUUUUGGGGGGGGGGUCAUAUUUAUCAAAUACUGUAAGAAAAAAAGUAAGUUAAAGAAAAACAAAAUUAUUAAUUAUAGCAAACUAAUUCGUCAGUAGAAAUAAGCUGUCUUUCAAUUUUUUACGUAAUUCCAUAUAGUUUUUUUUUUCCUGAGCAUAAAUUAACGUCGGGUACGAUGAACAUGGUAGUUUUGGAAGUAGCGCGCGUCGAAUUAUGGGAAAAAGGGGUACCAGAUUCCCGGAAGUUGACAUCAUUUCCUGGUUAAACAAGAGGGGAGAGGAGUACUAAAUGGGUAGAGGUAUCACACCGGUAAUUAACCAAUCAAAAUGAACUUAGUCAAAUAUAAAGGUUUUCGACAGGAACUAUUUUUUUCCCGGGAAUAGGAGGCUACUUCCUGCGGUACACUCGGAAUGUUUAUAGACACAUUGAAAACACGUGGAUUUGAGGGUAGCCCUGUUUACAGAUAGAAAAAGUCAGAAAAUGCCGUGUAGGUACCGUUUUGUGUGUGAGAGUGUGUCAGCUAGUGUGACAGGUAAUGUUUAACACCUCCUGCUAGAUAUUUUUUCAAGUAAACAACUACCAAUUUUUUUUAAAGACUUUUUAUUCUAUAUGGAAAUUUACAGUCAAAACAAUUACCCGUGUGACGCAACCUGAUUGGCUAUGUUAAUAUUUUCAUUUUAAUGUAAAAAUAUCACUGAUAGAAAUAAAUGGUGGAAUAUAUCAAGUUUAUUUUCUUUAACUAAGAAAGCUGAAAACCUAUGAUCCCCCCCCCC